rnacentral:misc_RNA from 1 species
GCAAAGUAAGUUUCCUGUUUAAAAUGCUAAAAACACAGAAAAAAAAACUCCUCAAGUAGAGUGUACUUUUUGUACACUUCAACUAUCAAAAAAUGGGACACGUUUGUUGGAACAUAUUAAAAAAUGCCUAAAAUGUCCAGAGGAAGUUAAAAUAAAGUAUGGAGUGACGGAGAGAAAACAACGAAACAUUGGACUAUUACAAACAAUACAUGAAAAAAGGGAGGAAAAAGUUAAAGGUAUGUACCAAAGCUCUAAAAAUAUUUCCAAAUUUCCCUCUUCUUUAUUUAGUAGAAAUUCCUAAAGAUAACCUUACUUUACAGACUUAUUUUUAAAUUUAAUAAAUUUGGGAAUUUUAUUUACAGAAAAACCGAAAUCACAAUCUAAAGAGGUGUCCGCAUUCAUGGAUAAAAUGACACCUGAACAAAAAGUAAAAGCCGAUGAACUGCUUAGCCGGGCUAUCUAUUCAAGUCAAGCACCACUGGCUUUAGUAGAAAAUAUACAGUGGCAGAAGUUGUUUAAAUUUCUCAGACCUGCUUAUCAGAUACCAACCCGACACCUUGUAUCAGGCCCACUAUUAGACAGUGAGCACCUACGUGUAAAGGCUAUGGUUUCGGAAAACAUUGCUGGAGCACAUUCUGUUGGACUAAUGGUGGAUGGAUGGUCCAAUAUUAGGAACGAGGCUGUCCUAAACUUUGUUGUAACAACUCCAAAGCCAUUCCUUUUUAAAAUUAUGCCCACAGGCACUGCACCUCAUACUGCAGAAUAUAUGGCAAAAACCCUUGGUGCAGUAAUACGUGAAAUCGGUCCCCGAAAGGUAUUUGGUAUAGUCACAGACAAUGCAGCAAACAUGAAAGCUGCUUGGGCCUUGAUUGAAAAUGAUUUUGAUAAUAACAUUUUUACCUAUGGAUGCUUUGCUCAUUCUCUUAAUUUAAUAUUUACCGAUCUCAAAAAUUUAACAAGUCUGAAAUCGUUUACUGCCGAGGCUGUUGCCCUUACAAAGGCCAUCCGACAAAGCCACAUAUUAUCUGCGUGGGUAAAGGAAAAACAAAACGAAUUAAAAAUAAGUUGCAGUCUUAAACUCCCAGUGCCUACCAGAUGGGGAUCAUUAGUUCUUUGUCUACAAUCAUUGCUUGCUAACAAACAAAUAAUAAAAAGGAUGGCUAUCAAUGAAGAAGUUGAAAAGGCAGUAAGCAAACACCCAUCUUUAAAAAAAAUGCUCUAAGCGAUAUAUUUUGGGACCGGGUACAAGGAUACAUUAUGCUUCUGGAACCAAUUGCUAACACAAUUACCUCUGUAGAAGGUGACACACCAACGAUUUCAAAAUGUCUGCAUUUAUUUAAAAAAAUGGUUAACACCUCAUUAGAAAAUGUCACUAAAAGUCCAUUGUUAUCCAAAGAGGAAGCAGAUACAAGGGCAAUUUUUGAAAAUCGGAAGAAGUUUGCUAUUUAUAGUGUUCAUUUUGUAGCUAACCUUUUGGAUCCAAAAUAUCGUGGCUGCGAACUUAGCUCAGAUGAGAUGACUGAUGCGACAGAAGUCAUAUACAAGGUAGCACAGAAGAUGCCAGAUG